ACACCUGAAAUCCUUAGGGAGUGCCCGCCAACCCCAUGAUGUUGGCCUUACCUGGAAACUUAGCCACUGUUUUCCACACUUGCCUUUCUUUCAGGCACCUGCUGAUUCCAGUUUCAGCCAGGGCACAGUGCCCAACAUUGCUGACCAAGUCUUGCUCUAUUUCUCCUUCUCACCUGGCCUCUUCCAUCUUGGCCUCUGGAUGCAUUCUCUCCCUCUCAUGACUCAUUUCUGCAUUCAUCACUAGCCUCUUCUCUGCCUGGGCUUCUGCCAGCGGCCCUAGAGCAACCUAUGGUAUUCCACAGGGACCCACUACUGGCGUCUGGACACCAGCCGGGAUGGCUGGCAUAGCUGGCCCAUUGCUCAUCAGUGGCCCCAGGGUCCUUCAGCAGUGGAUGCUGCCUUUUCCUGGGAAGAAAAACUCUAUCUGGUCCAGGGCACCCAGGUAUAUGUCUUCCUGACAAAGGGAGGCUAUACCCUAGUAAGCGGUUAUCCGAAGCGGCUGGAGAAGGAAGUCGGGACCCCUCAUGGGAUUAUCCUGGACUCUGUGGAUGCGGCCUUUAUCUGCCCUGGGUCUUCUCGGCUCCAUAUCAUGGCAGGACGGCGGCUGUGGUGGCUGGACCUGAAGUCAGGAGCCCAAGCCACGUGGACAGAGCUUCCUUGGCCCCAUGAGAA
rnacentral:lncRNA from 1 species